rnacentral:rRNA from 1 species
AGAGUUUGAUCAUGGCUCAGAAUGAACGCUGGCGGCAGGCCUAACACAUGCAAGUCGAACGGGUCCUUCGGGACUAGUGGCGGACGGGUGAGUAACGCGUGGGAACAUACCCAAAGGUACGGAAUAGCCCUCUGGAAACGGAGAGUAAUACCGUAUGUGCCCCCUUCGGGGGAAAGAUUUAUCGCCUUAUGGAUUGGCCCCGCGUUGGAUUAGGUAGUUGGUGGGGUAAUGGCCUACCAAGCCGACGAUCCAUAGCUGGUUUUGAGAGGAAUGAUCAGCCACACUGGGACUGAGAACACGGCCCAGAGCUCCUUACGGGAAGGCAGCAAGUGGGGGAAUCUUAGACAAUGGGGGGAAACCCUUGAUCUAGCCCAUGCCGGCGUGAUUCGAUGAAGGCCUUAGGGUUGUUAAAGAUCUUUCAGAUGGGAAGAUAAUGACGGUACCAUCAGAAGAAGCCCCGGCUAACUCCGUGCCAGCAGCCGCGGUAAUACGGAGGGGGCCUAGCGUUAUUCGGAAAUACUGGGGCGUAAAGCGCACGUAGGCGGAUUAGAAAGUCAGAAGGUGAAAAUCCCAGGGCUCAACCUUGGAACUGCCUUUGAAACUCCUAGUCUUGGAGGUCGAGAGAGGUGAGUGGAAUUCCGAAGUGUAGAGGUGAAAUUUCGUAGAAUAUUCGGAGGAACACCAGUGGCGAAGAGCGGCUCACUGGUCUCGAUACUGACGCUGAGGUGCGAAAGCGUGGGGAGCAAACAAGGAUUAGAUACCCUGGUAGUCCACGCCGUAAACGAUGAAUGCCAGUCGUCGGGUAGCAUGCUAUUCGGUGACACACCUAACGGAUUAAGCAUUCCGCCUGGGGAGUACGGCCGCAAGGUUAAAACUCAAAGGAAUUGACGG